UACAGAAGUCCCAAGCGUUGUUCGGAUUCACUGGGCGUAAAGGGUGCGUAGGCGGUCGGGUAAGUCUGAUGUGAAAUCUCACAGCUUAACUGUGAAACUGCAUUGGAUACUAUCCGGCUAGAGGAAUGGAGGGGAGACUGGAAUACUUGGUGUAGCAGUGAAAUGCGUAGAUAUCAAGUGGAACACCAGUGGCGAAGGCGAGUCUCUGGACAUUUCCUGACGCUGAGGCACGAAAGCCAGGGGAGCAAACGGG
rnacentral:rRNA from 1 species